UCUACUUUUGAGAGGGGAAUGUUGAGAUAUUCCCCACUACUAAUAUUUUUAUUUUAUUUUUCCUUCUGUAACUUCUUUAAUUCUUCCUUUAUGAAUAUGGAUGCUAUGCCAUUUGAUGCAUAAAUGUUUAAUAAUGAUAUUGUUUUCAUUAUCUAUCAUACCUUUUAUCGUUAUGUACUUUCUUUCCUUAUUUCCUUUGAUCAGAUCAGUCUGCUUUUGAUUUGUCUGAAAUCAGAUUUGCUAUCCUGGCUUUUAUUACUUUAUUUGAGGCAUAGUAUAUGCUACUCGAGCCUCUUUUAUUCUGUGUGUGUUGUCUCCAUGUUUUAAAUGUGUUUCUUGUGGGCAGAAUAAUGUGGUGUUCUGGUUUUUUUAAACAACUCUGCUAUCCUUUUCUGUUUCAUGUGUAAAUUCAGCCCAUUCAUGAAUCCACAUACAUCAUUACUAAUUGUGUUUUCAUGCAUCUUAUUUUCCCCGUUUAUUUUUCUCUUUCUCUCUUCUUAGCUUUUCCAUGUUCACAGAUGUUUUGUUAUUGACUAUCACCUCCCCCAAUUCAACCCUCCUUUUUUGUUCACCCUCAAUCCCUUAUUCUCUCUAACCUCCUACUUCCCUAUAGGGUAAGAUAAGUUUCUACAGAUGAAUAUGGCUGUUAUUUCCUUUUUGAGCUAGUUCUGAUGAGAGUAAGGUCCAAUCAGAGUUAAAGCACAUCUCCUCCACUGGAUUUGCUGUUUAUGUGCCUGUUAAGGAGAAAUAGUUUGCCUCCUUCUGUAAAAAAUAGACUCGAAUACAGGACUACAAUCCCCAUGAGCCUUUGCUCCACUUCCCCAGAAUGCCUUGUAAUCUCACCUGGGCCGAGAUGGAGAAGAUAUUUAAGCAAAGGCUUUUGAAGGGCUCGGCUUUUUGGACUUCCGUUUUUGGAGCAGAGGCGUCUCUUCCAUGAUAUGAGGUUAUUUUGUCUAGGCCUCUGGCCUAGGCACAUGUUUCUUACUUGUAUAUUCUUAAUCUUUAACCUUUAAUAAACCUCUAAAAAAUAUAUAUUCCUUGCAGAGAGAAACUAAUUUCUACCUGCCUCAGUCUCCCCAUCUCCCCUAAAUUUUAACUGUUACAGUUGGCGACCACUAGAUUGGAUGAGAACUUCUCAAAAAAAAUUUUUAGCCUAGAGAAUUUUUUUUAAAGCCAAGGUUCUCCGAGAUGCUCUUUAGAAAACCAUCUUGAUCAGCUCCUGCCUGCGGCCCUCUCCGGCUCCUGCAUCUGCUCCUGGCCUCUCACCUGGUGCCUGAGCUGUGCUCCAGCUCCCAGCCCGACACACCCCGGCAGUCUGUCUCUCACCCAUCUGGCUUCCGACCCAGCCGGCUCAUUACCCAGAUCCUUGGAGCAGAUUGCUGAGGACUCAUUGCAACCAGCUGGUAACAGUAUUGGCCACGUGGGCGGAGGGGAGAGACCAGAGGGAAAGGAGAACGGGCAAUUUUCCCUUAGGCUAAGCCUCCACGUGGCUGGGGGUAUUGGCUGCAGGGGUAUCAGAGAGGGGAAAGAGAGAAAAGACUAGAGAGAAGAAACAGACUUUUCAAACAGAAACCUAAAAAGCAAUGGGCUGUUUAAAAGGAUUUUUGACUCUUCUGGCAAUUUCAUUGAUUUUGCCUGCCUGUCUGGGAGCAGACUCAGCCAAAAGAUUCAACUUUAACUUUGGGGAGGAAAAUGGGUGGCCCAGCGAACUGGAAGCCAGGCCCAGAGACGGGAGGUCUCUAGUUAAAAUCUGGCCUCCGAUGCUUCCCAGCUAUGGGGCCCUGGACGGAUCCCUUGAACCCCGUAGCCUAGCCUUUACUACUCUACCUUCGGACAAUAGACAUUUAAAUGGAUAAUUAAAAACAAACAAACAAGAAAAAACAACCCAAGGAACUUUGAAGAGACUAAAGGCUCUAAGGCAUUUCAGACUCUAAUGGUUUAUUAAAAAAUCUCUGUAUUCUAUUGCAUUUUUUGUUUAAGGUUUAACUUUGUGAUUUUAAGUUCAUAUAUUACUGGAUUGAAUAUUAUUCUGUGAACUGAAGGUUGAUUGAAUUUAUUUUGAAUGUACUGAGUUUUGAAAUUCUGUUGUUUUUCCCCUAUAACUGUGUUGAACAAAUAUUGUUGUGAAUAAGCCCAUAUAUGAAAAAACAGCUUUUUUCUAUUUUGCUGAGGAUAGAUGGACUUCAGAACUGGUUAUAAUUGUAUUAACAACCUUUGGAAUUUUAAUGUGCUAAAUACCUCAAAUGAUUUGAUUUUAAGGGUUUUUUAAAUAUGAUUUUGGAAUUUUUUUAACAGUCUGGUUAUUUUUGCCUGCCCCUACCACGAGGUAAGGCCCAUUCUAGUAGCUGAAGUGAAAUGUAUUUUAUAACCCCCAACCUUCCCACAUGCGAAUGGAAGUUGGGCAGUUAAUUUCAGGGCAAUUGUACCCUUGGGAAAAGCCUCCAAAAGGAGCACCCCUUUAUUUAUGCUCUUUAGCUCACUAUUUUACUUCUACCAGAAUGAUAUAUAGAUUUCUUGAUUAUGUUCUUAACCCAAGAUGAGUUUUACUUUGUUUAAAAAAUAUGUUUAAAUACCAAGGUUGAAGGAUUGCUAUGUUUGUAAAAAUUGUGACAAAUGUCCAUAAAUUCAUAAGUUUUAAAAAUGUCAUACAGCAACUUAUGUGAAAUAUGAAAGUGUGUUUGUUUGCUAUUGUAAUUAAUUGGGCUAUUGAGAAUUUUGGGGAUUUUGAUAUCUACAUAUUUGUACUACUGUAUUUUUAAAAGAUGAAAAAUUGUUAACCUUGUUCAAUUCAUUUGCCCUCUACUCACAGUGAUCAUGGCCAGAUACAAAGAGGAAAUGGAUCUCAUUUUUUGGUGAGAAAGCCUUGCAUUUUAUAUUUUCUUAACUGACACAGAGUGUCAAUGGUUAUAAGCUAUAUUUUUGAAUUUUUUAAAGCUCUUUUAUUGUUAUAUUUUUCUUGCAUGUGCAAUAUACUUUUUCAGUUUUUAAUUAUUUUUUCUUUCCUUUUUAUAUUUGAAGCACAUGUCACCAGUAUUAAGAUUUUCUUUAACCUUUUGAUUUUCAGUGCUACAAGUUUAAGAUACAUUUGCUAAUGCAUGCCCUAAAAAGCUUGUGACUAUGAAAAUGAUUCCACUAAUUAUUUAAAUAAAUUAUGGGACUUUGCUUAAUGAUUCUGUCUGAUUCCAGGACAAGAGCUACACACAAGAGCCAUUUCAUGGGGCCAAAGAAAGGCCAAUCUAGGAUGAAUUGAUGCACUUCUAAGCCAAUACAAAGGUCUUGAACCUAGUGUGAAGACUCGAGGUUACUAUGUUUAACAUGUGUUAAGACAUAGGCUUUCCUUGUAUCUACACUCACUCUGAAGAUACUCAAAGAUGAGUAUCCCCAAAAACCUUGGCUCCUACUUAGCUUCUAUAAUCUGGUCCCCUUUUCUGCCUCUCAUAGUGUGGUACCUUUCUGUAGUCCUGGCGCUGAUUGGGUAAAUGCAUCAUUACUUAGAUCAUUUUGAUUGGGCCCUGAUUGAAGGACCUGUUAUAGAUUUAUUUUUCUUCUACUUGGAAUUUUUACACAUAAGACUUUGAUAGUCUAUAUUUUCAUCCAGAAAUUUUUCUUUUCUUUUGGAUUUUCUGAUGUCUUUUUUAAUAUCUCUUGCCAAUUGAUUCAUAUACCUCAUACCUCAGCCAUGCAUCCCUAACCGAUUCUGAAUCUUUCAAUCACCCACAACACGGGGGAAUGUAAAAAAUAUCAUUAUUUAAAUUGCAAAGUUUAAAUUCCUUUUGAGAAGAAUUUUAGGUGAAGAAGAUGCUACCUCUCUGAAUCCAGAACUGAACUGUUGGAGAAGCCACCAUGAAGAAGCCUCCAGACCACAAGUUGCACAAAAUUGAACUUUGGGUGUGGUUGAUUGAACAUUUAUUUGUAUGUAUACUUUUAUGCCAAAGGGGACUGCCCCCUAACGGCUUUUUGUCAAUGUGUUCAGAAAUUAUUGGUUUUAUUCUUUUUUCUCUUAUCCUCACACUAUUGUAAUCUUUUAAGUUUAUUAUGUUUUUAUGAUCCUUUUGGGGAAAAAUUAAUUUUUCCACAAAUGAUCACACGGGGGGAUGUAAAAAAUAGACUCGAAUACAGGACUACAAUCCCCAUGAGCCUUUGCUCCACUUCCCCAGAAUGCCUUGUAAUCUCACCUGGGCCGAGAUCGAGAAGAUAUUUAAGCAAAGGCUUUUGAAGGGCUCGGCUUUUUGGACUUCCGUUUUUGGAGCAGAGGCGUCUCUUCCAUGAUGUGAGGUUAUUUUGUCUAGGCCUCUGGCCUAGGCACAUGUUUCUUACUUGUAUAUUCUUAAUCUUUAACCUUUAAUAAACCUCUAAAAAAUAUAUAUUCCUUGCAGAGAGAAACUAAUUUCUACCUGCCUCAGUCUCCCCAUCUCCCCUAAAUUUUAACUGUUACACUUCUAGAUCUCCUUUUCUCUCUUCUCCAUUUAUUCCUCUUUCCCAUUCCCUCCCUUUUAAUAUCAUCCCAUCUUAUUUAGCUUCCUUUCUUUGAUGCAUACCCCUUUUAUUGCUCCAAUAUUAAGUAUUUUAGAUACUUUAAUCUUAAGUAUUAUUUUCAAUAUUAAGUAUUUUAGAUUCUUUAGCUUUAGCUUGCCUUUGAAAUAUUAUAGAUGUCUUAAUUAUUUCAAUGAUCAUCUUGCCAGGUAUGAAUGAACUCAAUUCAACUUUUGCAAAACUAUCAAGUAUUCUUCUUCUCUUGAGUAUUGAACUUAGUAUCAAAUUUUGCUUUCAACUUUUUUGCGUGAGAAAAGUCCGAAAUUUCUCUAUUUCAUUAAAGAGCAAUUGUUACCUUUUGGAAGAUUAAUCUUGGUUUUACUCAGUGUAUAAUUCUAGGUUUCAGUCCUAGAAUCUACUUUUCAGAAUGUCAUAUUCUGUGCCUUCCAGUCCUUUAAUGUAAAAACUGCUAUGUCCUGGAGAAUCCUGACUAUGGCUCCUCAAUAUUUAAAAUGUUUCCUUCUGGCAGCUUCUACCACUUUUUCUGUGGCCUGGGAGUUCUAGAAUUUGGUUAUAGUAGUACUGGGGUAUUUUAUUUUGGGUUCUCUUUCAGGAAGAGAUAGGUGGAUUCUCUCUAUUUCUAUUUCCCCCUCUUGUUUGAGGAUAUCGUAAUAUUCCCUGAUGACUUCUUUUACUAUGGAAUUCAGGAUUUUCUUUUGAUCGUGGUUUUCAGGUAUUCUGAUGAUCCUUAGAUGACUUCUCCUGGGUCUAUUUUCUAGGCUGGUCAUAUUUACAAUUGAAGUAUUUCAGACUUUCUUCUUUUUUUUGUUAAAUUUUGGAUUUCGUUUUAUUGUUUCUUGCUUAUAGUUUCAUUAACUUCCAUCAGUCCAAUUCUAAUUUUAAGGAGUUUUCUUCUUUGAGUUCUUGGGUUUCCUUUUCUACUUGGCUGUCUUUUCUUUAAAGGGUUGUUUUCUUCAUGUUUUGUUUCGUUUUGAUUUUUAUUGUUUUGGUUUUGGGUUGUUGUUUUUUUUUGGCCUCUAUUCCCAUUUGGUGGAUUCAAUUAAUUAGGAAGUUUUUUUCUUCAAUGAUUUUUUCCCCCAGAUAUUGAGUUUUUCAAUUAGUUCCCUUAUAUUUUUUAACUUCUUCCAGGGAUUCUUUUUAAGAUCUAAACUCCUUGCCCACUUUCUUUUGAGGCUUGACAUGUCUCCUUUAUGGCAUUGUUGUCCUCUUCUGGGUCCAUAUAUUGAUCUUCCUUGUCACUAAAGUACCUUUCCCAGGUCAGUUUUUUCUUAUUUUACUUGUUUUUCAAUUUUUUCUUUCCUUUGUAACCAUAUUUAUCUUUUGAGAUCCUUCUCUGUUCCUGGAGUAAAAGGGUAUAUUGCUCUAAGAUUACAGAGUACUCUUCUCUGGUAUUUGGUGUAGGACUAGCUGCCCUUGUUCCUCAUGGUUUGUCUGUCACGGAGACAGCAGUACUGGCAUGUUCUGGGGUGGUUGGCAACUGUUUCAUUCAACUAUAUUUAGCAUAAUGACUUACCAGUUCCCCCAUUGUUUUGUGGGUUAGUCUGGUCCCCACUAUGCUACUUCACUGCCCCUACCAAGUAGCCUGGGUGGAGAAGGCUCCCUGCUUUGAUUUCUACUGCCCCAGGCUUUACCCCACCACAUGUAAGUAAGCAAAUUACUUCACUGUAGUUCUAGUUCCCCCUUCUUGCAUCCCUGUAACCUCAAGAUUCUUUUGCUAUUUGGAAGUGGAUAGUUCAUUGUUAAUUCUAGUUCCAUCUUUACUCCUUUGGAGUCCCAAGGCUCUGAUGUCACAUGAGAGUUUGAAGGUUCCUUACCUUCUCUACCUGUAUAGAGAGACUCAAGCUGGGUUCUAAGAUCUGCCAGUACUAUCAGAUUGCUCUCUUCUCUUACCUAAAGUGAGAUGUUGCUCCAGCUUUUCUUUGUUUUGAGGCAAUUUGUUUUCUUUAGUUUUUGCAUUGAGGAAAUGGAGUGCCUUUUCUUCCUACAUCUUAUCUUUCAGCGUGCAACUUUUGUCUUCAUGCAAAAUCUGAAUAAAACUGAAGAGGGCAGUUCUAAAGAGAGGAAGCUGCUGAGGUAUCUAUACACAUAAAUGCACAUAUACACAUAUGUACACAUAUAUACAUCCAUAUAUACAUAUCUAUAUGUCUGUACAUGUAUGCAUGUGUGAACAUAGAAUGGCUUCCGCAUUUUAAAGAUUUUUUUCAUAGACAUUGAAAAUGUUUUUUUUUUACCAAGAAUUCCUUGAGAGCAGAGAUUGACUUUUUUGUCUUUUUCUGUAUCCUUGGUGCUGUACCUGGAACACUUGAGGCACUUACUAAUGAUUGUUGACUUAUUCAAAACCUAGAAUUUAUUUUUUUAAGAUAUAUUAUCUAUAUAAAGAAGAAUGUGCAUUUUUCAAAGACUUUCAAGUUUUUGAACUAUAACACUAAAGGAUGAGAUAGAACACUUUAUUAUCCCUAUUACUACAAGAGGAACCUAAGAAUCAGAGAUGAUGAUUACCUUUGGCUUAUAUGUUUCUGUGCCAAGAAUAAUCCCAUGUGCCUUACCACCAAGUUUAUACUCUGCCUGAUUAUAAGUAAAUUUUCUAGGAAAAAGAAACAUAUAGACAUACACACACACAUACAGACAAAACACAAAUACACAUACAAAUGGUAUCUAGGCUGCUGCAAGAACUGAAGCUAGUGAGGGGGGAAAAGAUUGCAAAAACAGAAAAUUACUCAUAAAUUUAUAAAUUACCUAUCGUUAAGAUCAACGCUGCCAUACUCUUAAGGGAUGUGCAUUAUACAAUGUCACAUGUAUCUGAUAUCUUUUAAUGUAAAAUACUCUCUGUAAGGCUUAUUAUCUUGUUUUAUCUUCAUGACAACUCUGUGGUGAAGGUUACAUAAAUAAUACUUUCCAGAUUUUACAGAAAACAAAAAAAAAAGGAAGAUUCUGGGAAAAAGACAGUACUUGUUCAAGUACACCCAGCUAGUAAAUGGACAAGCCAAGAUUCUGUAGAAAGAAUGCAUUGUCACUUUAAAGAUAUAUUACAGAAUCCAAAUUGUAAGAAGGAAUGGAAUACAUUCUCUCCCUAGUUAAUCUGUGUCACCCUAAGAUUUUAUUAAGAGUGGGACUCACUCUAAUUCCCUACUUAAACUGAAUGUGUAAAUUCUAGCUUGAGUCUCUAGCUGCCUUUCUAAUGAGAUUCACCAUCACCUUUGUCAGAGUUAUGCAGAAAGUGAGGCAGGUCAAGAUUCUUUUGAGAAAAGUGAGGUGGGGGAGGAUUCAGUCUAUUUCGCCUUCUGCAGAUUUGACUAUACCAUUUACUAGCUGUUUGGAACUUUGAACAACUUACUUAACUACUCAUGUUCUUUAAAUCUCAUAUGAAAAGUAUUACUGUGAGAACACCAAUCUGACCUUUUGGUGUACAUAGUUUCAAAGGAGAAAUGCUUGGAAAAAAUAUUGGACAAAUAAAAUAAUUAAAUAUUAUAUAUACAUUUACAUAUACAUAUACAUAUAUACAUAUUUGGAAAAGAACGAGUUCUACAUACCAACUAGUGAAGUUUCCAAAGAAUACAGUUCUUUCAGAACAAAAAUGACACAAUAGAGAAAAGAGAAAUGGAUCCUAUUUUGACUGUGGCAAAGGCUUAAAAGUACAGGUGAAUUUGGAACAACAAAUGCCCAGGUGCCAAGAAGAGGAAAAGAUCAUGAAAAAGUGGUUGUAAUGGAACAGAGAGGAUAUUAUGGAACAGUGAUGAUGUUAUAAGCAUCAGUGUUUGAUAUUAAUAAACAUUUUAAUCACUGACAUAGAUGAAAUAAUAGAUUCCAUAUGAAAUUUGCAAAUAAUUUGUUUUAGCUAUAAUUUUCCCAAACCUAGUACUAUGGAAAAUAUAUUUUUGAAUGUUUUAAAUGAAUAUUACUUUAGAUAUAUCUGUAUCUAUCUCUUUUGAUCUAUAUGACUGUCCAUUUAAUUUAACUGUUGGCAAAUAAGUUAGAGAUGGCUUCCUUUCUUAGCUAUAGAUGUUAGACAACCUAUAUAGAUGUUAGACAACCUAUCUAUAUAGAAGGUUCAUUAGAAAUCACUUUCUUGGGUGUCAUCAUUUACCUGAAUUUGUCUGGUAUUGUGAAUAUGACAACUUUUGGAGCAUCAUUGCCAUUGCUAACAGUAGGCAAUCUGGUUCAGCCUUUUGAGUCUGGGGUGAAUGAGUCACAGUGGGAAAGUGGAUGAUGCACAUCAGGGGCUGUUAUUUUUUUGGCUGCUGAGUACCAUUAUUAUGGUGAUAUGUUCAGUUGGUGUUCAGGGAGGGUUAGAACCUCUACUGUGAGAGCUUGCUGAAUGCUUUUCAGGGCUGCUUAUCCCCGUUUGGUGUCUACCUCUUUCCCAGCUCUUACUUGUGGCUCCAAGCUAUAGUUUUCAGCAGCAGGCUGUUAAAACUGUCCAGGCAGAUGCGUUAAGCUUGGGUUUAUGUCUAACCCUAGCCUUGUGAAGACCUCUCCUGCGAGAACAGAUGGAUGAGGCAAUUUGUUUCAGUAGCCAUGAAGGUGGCUGAAGCAAACACUUUCGAGUGCUUAAAACUUGGAUGGCUAUUAGAGACACUGACAUCAUUUAGGUGCAUUUUCAGUCAUCCUGACUUUUGUCUUGCCACAGGAUUUAGAUGACUCUGGAAGAAAGAGUGAGGCUGACAACUCUGGGCAACUCACUUAAAUCCAAUUCACACAUAAGUUAAGAUAUUACCCUGUGAUGUCACUGGUAUUCUUUGAAAUGAAGGGUCACCACCACCACCACCAAUUGAUGGAACAUAUUUUUUAUUGACUGAAUCAUCCUUUUAUCUUCUUAAAUCUAGCUUUGUUUUAAACUGCCCUUGCAGCUGGCUAAUAUUUUCUUGUAGAUUCCAGAUGAUCAGUUUUUCAGGAGGAAGCUCAAAAAUUAUCUAUUUAAUCCACUCAUUUUGUAGGUGAGGAAAAUGAAGCCCAGAGAAUACAUAUAGAUGACUAGCUCCCCUGCUAAGACUUCAAGUGUCUUGCCUCUAAAUCCAAUGCUCUAUGUUCUUACCUCUGCAUGAUAAUAUAGAGGGUCAUUAGCAAUAGGAAGCAAUUAAAGGUUGCUGUUGCCUCUGGUUAAACCUAGGAAGAAACUUAUACUGUUCUACUCAUUGAAUUAUUCAUAUUCUUAGAUAUCACAAUUAAAAAAGAACCAGUAGAAGAAUUAGUAGAAGAGGAGAUCAGCAGUGGCAAACCUGCAAUGGGAAAAGCUAUAAUGCAGUUUUCCUGGUUUUGCAAUGUCCAAGGAUACAAUUGGAGGAACUUCUUUUGUUUUAAAAAACAUGAUAAACAAGUAAAGAAUGUGCGCAAGCAGGAAGAAACUGACCUAAAGCUGCUGGUGUCUGACUGGACAGAAACUCAAGUUGGCCAUUGGUUAAAGAGUAUUGGAAUGAAAAAAUAUAUCCUGAAAUUUGAUUAUAAAAGAAUAAGAGGUCAAGAACUUCUUGAAUUAGACAAUGAUGCAUUAAAAUGCAUUGGCAUCACUAAGAAGAGAGAUCGCAAGAAAAUCCUUAAGGGAAUUAAGAAAAUUCAACAGACAGAAAAAAAUUAAUACAAUCUAACAAUUAAAUAUAUCAAAAAGAUAAUUCUGGAAGAUACAGCAAAAAUGAGAAAAAUAUAAUUACAUGAUAUUUACCUUUACUCUACUACUUCAACAUAUUAUUGAAACCUUCUGAUUCUUCUGCCAUGAAUCUAGCACACAUUUACUGAGGAGCAGUGAUGGAUGGAAUGACCAUAUAAGCCAAGAGAUUUUGGUGGACCACUGAUCAAGGUCUUCCAAAGAUGAUCAUUCAUUCACUCAUUUCUGCCUUAGCCUGAAAAAGAGCAUCCUGUUUGUUGCACUCUGGAUUCCUUUUUUAUCUUUGGUCCUAGGCUUUUCAGCCUUUGUCUACCAAUUCUUAUGUUGUGUAUACCUUACAGAAUAAUUACCAUGAUGUAUAUCCCCAAUUAAUUCACUAUGCAAUUUUGAAAAUAAAAACUCUGUCUGCUCUUUGAUGCCUACCUUCCAUUAGGAGAGAAAGUUGAUUUACCCCAAUCCACAUAGAAUUGGGUCAGAAAAAAGAAUAUCAACGUUUGUUGCCCAAAUAACAAAAAUCAAUCAGUAGAAUUAUAAUCAUAGAAAAAGAAAAAAAGAGCUGCAAUCUCAUAAAACUUUCAUGACUCAUUGACAGUAUAUAUUGUUUUUUUUUUCAGAAAAAUGGUUCAAAUUAUAAGAAAUUUUCAGGAACUACAACUAAAUUGUUAAAUAUACAUAGAGGACAGUAACCUUAUAGAAUAAUUCUUUGACAAGUAAUUAAGAGGUCUGCAAUUUGUUUUAAGUAUAUGCAAUUUUAAACAUUUUAGUGAAUACCUCUGAGAGUCAGUAAAGUCAUCUCUAAAAUGAAAGCAACUACAUUAGUUGAUUGUUUCUAGCUCUAUGGUUGUUUCUAGCUCUCAUCUUAUCAAGAAUGUCUCCAUGCCUCUGUCAGUAUCUAUUUUUACUUCUGCCUUUCUCUGUUUCUUAGAAUAAUUCAAUAAUGAAAACAACAAAGGAACAGGACAUAUUGAAAACAAUGAUUGUUCUAUGUACUGUAUGCCUGGGUCCAAAUGUUGUAUCUGAAGCUUGUUUACUAUCUGUUACAAUGAACUAUCUCCUUGGUUUUUAGUUUCUUCAUAUGUGAAUUGAAAGCAUUGUUUUUGUAGUUGGGAUUCAGCAAUUUCUAACAUAACUUCCUUUAUGACACCAUAACACAAUCAAAAUAAUAAUUAAAGGACUAUAAGCAAAGUACACAAUAAAGGGAGGCCCCUCAAACAACAAAUUAUAUGAUUUAAGUAUAGGGUGAUGGAUAAUGAUGAUAAUAAAAUAGCAUAGCAAAAUUUCUGCAUUGAUGAUGCUUGGAUGAUUCUCACUGAAAAAAUUAUGUCCUAAAAUUGACAGAGAGUUAAGAUGAAGUAAGUGGACAGCACAUUAAAAAUAGAAAAUCAAUACACAUGUUAGCUAAACCUAACAUGUACAAAAACUUUUAAUUAGAAAAGACACAGAGAAACAAAAUGUUCCACAAAGUGGUAAACAAAAUGAAAAACUGAUUCUUCAAAAGUGCCAGAAAAAAGGUUAGAUCUUGAGCCCUAACAAACCAAAAGUGAUGUGGAAUAAAAUGUGAAAUUGAAUAAGAAACAAGAACAGGAAUGUCAGAAGCCAUAAAAAUCAUCCCUAUAUCUCCUUGAUAUUACUUGGUUGUAUCCCAGAUUACCUUUGUUUCCUGCCAAAACAAAUGAAAACCCAAGAGACACAUUACCUACCAGUAACCACAUAAAUGAUCCAAAUGUAUGUAAUACUCUUUACAAAUCUGAAACAAACUAACUCAGAAAAGAGAACUGAUCUCUGGAGAA